rnacentral:misc_RNA from 1 species
GGUUUUCGCGGUUGUCUCCCAUGCACAGGUGUGUGUGCACAGGUAAUUGUGAAGAAAACAAUAAAAGAGUACAUUAGUAAUACGGCACUCCUACAGUAGAGGUGAUACGGGAGAGUUUAUAAGUUAUGAUGGACACUUUACAGUUUUACUUAUUCCCAUGAUCUAUUCGGAGAAUAAGGAGGGAAACGAAGCGACUUCGCAACGAGACGAUGUCCCGAUUUUCGCGGUUAAUUCCGCGAUUUUUGAGAGGCGACAAGUCUAAAAGUUCUGUUUCUAGGGACAGUGGGUCUUUGGAGAGGGCCAAGGAUGGACCCUUGUUCCGAAUUCUCUGCCUUGACGAUACGGAUCUUCAUCUUUCAUUCAAGGGAAGUUCCAAAGCCUCGAACUUGCUGGAUAGGGUCUUCGCCCAUCUAAAUCUGGUGGAAAAGGACUACUUUGGUCUCCGUUUUGUCGACCAGUCAGAUCAAACGCAUUGGCUAGACCCUCAGAAGCCAUUGUCAUCUCAAUUAAAGUCAUGCAGUCAACCUUACACAUUCUAUUUCGGUGUCAAAUUUUAUCCUCCAGAUCCUUGUAAACUUAAGGAGGAAAUUACCAGAUACCAGUUUUUUCUACAAAUAAAAAGAGAUAUUCUUCAAGGGAGGUUACCCAUCACUUUUGAUGAAGCUGCAGAGUUAUUUGCCUUUGCAGUGCAAGCUGAACUUCGAGAUUAUGACCCAAGAUACUGCAGUGAGGGUUAUGUCUCUGAAUUUCGCUUUGUCCCCAAUCAAACUCAGGAAUUAGAAGAACAAAUCGCCAGAUUUCACCAGCAUCUUGGUGGAAUGAGUCCAGGCCAAGCAGAGUACAAAUUCCUGGAUAAGGUGAAAUGGCUGGAUAUGUAUGGAGUGGAUCUUCAUUCUGUGCUGGGUGAAGGAAACACAGAAUAUUUUCUAGGCUUGACUCCAACGGGAAUUGUGGUGUACAAGAACAAGUCAAAAGUGGGAAACUAUUUCUGGCCAAGAAUAACAAAGGUCACAUUUAAAGGGAAAAUUUUCAUCAUUAAAGUCAGAGACAAAAAUAAUGAUGAGCAUACCUAUGCCUUUGAGGUUGCCACAAAGACUAGAACAAAGCACCUAUGGAAGUGUUGUGUUGAGCAUCAUACAUUUUUUAGAAUUAACCAGUUAGCGGAUACCUUAGCAAUCUCAUCCAAACACUCUAGACACGGAUCCAGACGGAGUGGUCGGAAUGACAGACAGAAUAACAACGAUAUAAGACAACAGCCAAUGGUUACUAGGAUACCAAGCAGACGACAACCAACCAGAAGCAAGUCAGACUCCAAACUCAAUGGAGGAAAGGCCGGCUCCUACUACAGUGUUAUCAACGAUGCUGCUGUCACCAGAGUUGUAGCCCCUGAACCAGUCCAAGGAUCUCGUCACAGAAGUCUUCCUGAUUUACAGAGAAACCAAUCACCGAGGAGUACGCGCAGUGCCCCCUGGGAGAGGGAUGCUGAUACUGGGUUAUACACCUCUGGCCGGGAAUCCCCUGUAUCUCUACACAGUGAUGUACAGAAGUUUCCCAGGAGAGUGGGACAGACCAGUGAUACAGAGAGUGGCCAUAGGCGCAAAUAUUUCCCAAAGAACAAAGGUUCAGACAACGAAAGUGAUGUUUCUUUUUCAAGAAGAAGAAGGAGAGAUGGAGACAGUGGAAGUGAAUCGGAUGUGUCUCCUAUGAGGGGGCGUCGCCCAAAAAGUUCGGUGGAACCCUGGUAUGAAAACCAAUGGAAUGAGACCAUGCAAGGAAUGUUUCCAGCACAUAGUGAAAGCUAUAUGAAUGGCUCUGUUCCAUCCAUUCAUUCUGCUCCUGCGGGUGAAGUCAAAAGGAGAAGACGAAGAAGGACAAAGUCACCAGGAACAGCAAAACGCCCUCCAGAGGAAUUAAAACAACACAUUGUGUAUGACUUAGUAGAUACAGAAGGAAUGGCUCCAGAAGAUCUACAGGAUAUUCCUUACAUGAAAGUCGAAACUAAAGCUGAACCCUUCAAGAUCAAGUAUUCUCCACAUGUCAACAUACGACAGCGGUAUAGGUCUCCAAAAAGGAAAGGAUUUGGGGACCAAGAUCCCAGCCAAUCACAACUACCUCAGAAUGGGGAGCCACCCCCUCCCUACACACCCUCCGAGUCGGCCCGCAGGACUCCAGAAUUAGGUCACAGAAACUACAUGAGUGACACCAAUGCCUAUAAUAACAGAAGUGAUCUAGAAACACAGAGCAAUAAAUCCGGGUCCACUUACAGAUCAGCAAGAUACAGGAAUCAGAUAAAUUCUAACAAAGAGAGCAUACCAGAGCAAUCAUUUGGUCACAGGAUGGACAACAUUAGAAGUCGGCCCCCCAGUUCCGCAGGGUCUGCGAUCCAAUACCGAGUUCAGAGACAACCCCGACCAGGAUCAUCUGAACAGCGAUACAGGGGUACCGGUGGCUACACAUCGGAUGUCACUCCAAGUCAUCGGAGAACGAGUGGAUACAUGUCGGAUGUAGUGUCAAGUCGCUCCCAGAAUUACAGAUCAAACACUCCAAACAACUACAGACCUGCAGCUAACUCUAAAGAAAACAACAGUCCUUUGACUGAUGUGUCUAAAGUGUCGCAGAGGUACAGAAGUCCCGUAAAUGGGGCACAGGUACAAAAUGUGAACUCCUCCCAGCAAGAGAAUUCACCUUACAGUAGGACAGUGAAUAAUUCACGGCAGGAAAAUUCACCCUACAGCAGAAGGCACCACAAUGAAAACUUCUCCCCACAGAACAAUGUGUCAGAUGUCGAAUCAUCACAACGUCAUCGCACUCCCGAAUCUCCGCGUAGAUAUGAACCUCCGUCGUCAAAUCUCAAUCAUCGUCCUCCUCCUGCUCCUUAUUCUGGGUAUUCUGUCACACCUCCGUCCACAGCUGAAAUUCUCAGAACUGAUAAUGCACAUAUUCAUGAACAGAGCCGGUCUUAUUUAGGCCAGCAACACUCUGCCGCUGGUCCAUCCACUCCAGAUCGUGGCAGGAGAGUGGGCUAUAGUGCUAGUUCAGGAGACAAUGUAAACUCAUCCAUAACUUCAAGUAACUUGUCUUCCAUAGCUUAUAACUCAUCCCCUUACAAACAAACUACCCCUUCCAGUGUUCAAACUGUUAACACAAGCCAACCGUCCAGUGUGUUUACUGGGAAUUCUCCCAAGUCCUAUAAUGCCCAUGUUAGUGCCCGCUUAUUCAGUCCACAGCAAAUGGCUGACUUUUCUAGACAUUCUGCCCAGGAGAAUGCAUCAUAUAAUAGUUCAGGAUAUGCCCCAAAUAGAAGCAAUAUUGAACAAAAUAACUCAAUGUAUAACAAGAGCCAGUUCUCUGGGACUCCACCUCAGAGCAACACAUCAUUUAAUCACAGACAAUCGCAGGCCAGAGGAGUUCAGGAAAGGUCUCCCUAUUAUGACCAAAGGGGGCCCUCCAGCCGACAACACCAGGAGAAUUUCCAGUAUGGAGACAGAAGCCAGACCCAGAGCAGAAACGGGCCAGACCCGUCGCAUUAUCAGGGGAGGUCACCCGAUAAAGCAAAUCAGAGUUACUCCUCUUAUAACGGGCAUGCUGGAGUGCCUUCACGGACUGACUACUCCAAUGCUAACAGUUCUCUCAAUACUUCACAGGUUAGAGAUGAAUAUGUUUAAUUGUUUCUACAGAACACAUGUUCAGAGACAUUCAAUAUGUCAGAUAUGGAGCAAAUAUUGGUCUAUAUAUCAUGCUAUUGACUUUGUACAUUGUAUAUAUCUGCUUGAGCUGCUUCCAUCACUGUACAGGGUGUGUGUGUGUUUGCAGGAGCUGUACAUGAUAUUCACCGAGCAGUGUUCCUCUCCUAUUACUGUGUAGACAGUUCUGUAUGUUUAUUGGUCUGAAACCUGCCUAAUCUUGUGUGGAGUUUUCUUUAACAAUCUCCCAUGGGACUAAUUGUUCUAAUAUUAUUCCUGAGUUAUUUAUGAUUAUUCUAAAAAUAUAUAUAUAACUACAAUCUAACUGACUUUAUUGGAAAUUUUGAGGAUUUUUAAUGAAUUGAUUUCCAAAAAACUAUAUAAUGGAUUGUAUCAAUGCAGUGUAGAUUAAUCAAUCUAAUAAACAAAUUAACUGAAAUGGAACUAAAGCUUUAAAAGGAAAGAAUUAAAGUAUCUCUUUGAUUGUUUAAAUAGUCUUCUUUCUUAAUUUUUUAUUUUUCAAGAAAUUUUAUAGCUUAUUAUUGAAAUAGCAACAGUCGAUCACUCUGUCCAUCUUAGAACCAUAUUUAAAACUAUAUUAACUUUGCAGGAACUGCUUUACUGUGUGAUCCUGUCCUGUGUCUCUGAUCAUUAUGACAUGCAAUUAUCUGGUCUUCCUUGCUAACAUACCUUUGCAUGAUAUUGUAGUUUCAUUCCUCUCGGCUUGGUUAUCAGCAAUCUCCCUCAUACUCAUCACCAGGAAAAACACAUCAUCCUCAUCAUCUCCAAGCAUCUACACGAUCUGGAUUCAGCAUCCCCUCACAGAGAGGCUUGAAUCAUUCUGCUGUAGAUGCUAGUGCCUUACGGCCAGUGUACCGGGGUUCACACAGACACGACCUGGUCACAGAAAUAUAAGGGGCUUGAUAUAUAUGCUUGGUACCAGAUGACUUCAUAUCCCAUGUUUGUGUGUUUCAUAAUACAUGUACCUGCAAUGUUAAAUUUGCUGCCAGUUGAACUGUAUACAUGUAUAUAUUUCUCUAUGCAUUCAUGAACUCGUGCAUGAAAAUGGUGUGUCAAUACUAUAUGUAGCUCUGUGUGCAUGCUAAUCGAUUUUUUAUUUACUUGUACAUGUAUUAUAUCAAUUGAAAAAAUUGGUGGUCUUAUCAAUAAGCAUCAGUGCAAUACUAAUUCAAUAUUCUUUAUAGUAACAAUAUAUGUACAUGUAUUUCUUCAUUAAAACAAAAUCUAGAGACAUAUUUUAGGGACUUUCUCAUGUUUCAAAGCCAUGUUUAUUGAUCAAAUUACUGAUAUGUGAUGAUUUGUGAUAAAUUCUGACUACUGGAUGGAGAUUCUGAUGUUAUUUUAUAUUCAACAGAAAGGGGUUUAUUUUUCAACAUGUAAACAUGCAUUUAGAUUUUAAAUUUCAUUAUCACAAUUGAAUAUAGUAAACUACUUUGUAUAACAAUUAAAUUUAGUAAGUUGAUAAAUUUGUUUAAAGACUAAUAUCUUUUGAAAAAGGAAACAUUUAAAGAUAUUUUUGGACAUCAAUUAAUAAAAUGUACAGUGAAGCGGUUCAUAUAAUUUGACUUUUGUACAUAUUUCAGCUAUUUAUAUAUUUAUAUGGAGUUUGAAUUAUAUUUCCAACAUUUAAUAGUUGUUUUAUGUUCUGGAAAUACAUCUAAUUAUAAAAUUAAUGAUACCUUUU